ensembl:snoRNA
GCAAGCCUGUGAUGGCUGGUUAUCCCUGUCUGAAAGGCUCGACUGAGGGAGAAAAUCUGUUCUGAGGCUUCA